AGGUUUUCUUCCACAGUCAGCAGUGAUGCUGUCAUACUUGUAGCAGAGAUGCUGAAAGUAUUUGUUGAAGAGGCGACACGCAGAGCUGUUAAACAGGCCGACAGUGAGGACUGUGACAAUAUUGAUAUUGAGCACUUUGAAAAGAUUCUGCCACAAUUGCUUCUUGACGUUUAAUUUUGCUGAGGAGCCAGUAGAUGGCGACGUAACCAAGUUCUGCUGGGCCUGAACAUCCUGGACUUCACUUUGCAUAUUCGCACAAGCUUCAAUCUUAUU